GCCGUGUGAACUGCAGGACACAUGAACAUCGACACUUUGAAUGCAUAUUGCGGAAUUGAGCUCGUCUCAGUUCCAUACCCGGCUCAGGGUCGGUUAAACAUCCAUCAGACAAUCGUUUGUCUGCUCAGGGCUGCCGUCCUGCGUGUCGCAGGGCAGAGCUUUAUGAUUUGUCGUGCGGAUUUCAUGGACUCGACUCUUGGGAGCGAUCCUGGGUUGUUGCCCGUGGCCGUGUGUACACCGUGCAGGACUCUUAGGUUGUCCGCGAAGCACUGACCCCUUCCAUCUGUCUCGACCUGAGAUUGGGUAAGACUACCCGCCGAAUUUAAGCAUAUUAAUAAGCGGAGGAAAAGAAUACAACUGUGAUUCCCUUAGUAAUGGCGAAUGAAACGGGAAUAGCCCAUCGCGUAACCGCAGGUCAUCUUGGCCUUGCGGAAUGUCGCGUUCGGGAGAGUCUUAUCGAGAACUGGACGGCCAGUCAAAGUCCAACUUGACUGUGGCCA
rnacentral:rRNA from 1 species